AAGCCGGCGAUCGGCGUGGACAGCCUGUUGACUCGCUUGAUGAUGCCUGGUUUUAUUCGGUUGAUCAGACUGAAAAGAUAAAGAGCAGCGACGUGAAGCUGAGGGCCAACAGCGAGGGCUUGGGGCCCGUAGCGGCCUCCUAUACGGCUCCGCGAGAACCCAGGGAAGAACAAAGAAAUAUGAGUCACGGACAGACUGACACUGGUGUCACACGUCUGGAGCAGUGUGACAUUUCAGCUGGAUCACGGGAGCGGCCUCAGAUGGGAGCUGUUCAGGAAGCCACCCCCCUAAAGAAAGGAGCAGGGCCAAUACAGCCCAGCCGUGGGAGGGUAACUGCAUGACUGCCGGCCAGCAGCGAUCCAGGUCGGGCAGAACCAUGAGAGGAGAUGGAAACAAUUUCCCUGAAGAGCUAGAGGCGAGUGUCAGGUGUCCGUUCCUGGCAAGGGUCCUACACCGAACACAGCUGCCUUUCCACAUGCUACAGCCAGGUUAGUCUUCAUUAAAGCUUAAAGCCAGUGGAACGUAAUGAAGGUUAAAUUGCUUACAAUACGGAAAGACGCAGGCCGUGGCUUCCUGGUUUCCAGUGUCACAAAUCCUAGCUUAGUGAAGCCCUACACCGGCACUUCCUAACAGACGUUUGGAAGUUCUCACGCAAAAAUACAAAGGUGUAAGCGAGACAGUUGCUUGUUAACAAUGACAAUGUAGCUAAAUACUUAGACUGGAGUGUUAAUUAAAGGUUUCCUUUCAGAAAGGGCCGUUCUGAGAAACACCUGUAAUAUGUUAAGCUAUGAGGGAGAGACUGAAAAUGUAGGUUAGUUCACGCUGACGUUAACCAUGCACCCAAGCUCGUGCCAGACUUACUCGCACAACAGGACUCCAUUCUCCAGUGCCGAUCGAAAGUCCCGGUGCCCGAAUUUCUUC